rnacentral:lncRNA from 1 species
UUUUUAGAAGUACUGAUACUAUCAGUCCUAAUUAUUUAUGGUUUGAAGUCACAGUCAAAGGAGUUCGGCUUUUGUUUUAUAUGUGAAAUAAUUACAGUGGUAAUUAUUAAUGUUACAGUAACUAUUUAUAUCGUUUUGUGGAUAAAAGAAAGACAAAAGGAACCAACUGAGAUGAAACCUCUGAUAGCUUCAGGUUGAUUGCAUUUGUAUACUGCGGGUUUUUUAUGCCUAUUUAGUCAUGUUAUUUAGCAAACUUUUGUGACAGUGAGAUUGUAUGAACUAAAUAAUAAAAGAAAUAUUGAAAUAUA